AUAACAUUUGGAAACAGAUGCUAAUACCGCAUAAACUAACACCGCAUGGUGUAGGGUUGAAAGAUGGUUUCGGCUAUCACUUUAGGAUGGACCCGCGGUGCAUUAGUUAGUUGGUGAGGUAAAGGCUCACCAAGACCGUGAUGCAUAGCCGACCUGAGAGGGUAAUCGGCCACACUGGGACUGAGACACGGCCCAGACUCCUACGGGAGGCAGCAGUAGGGAAUCUUCCACAAUGGACGAAAGUCUGAUGGAGCAACGCCGCGUGAGUGAAGAAGGUUUUCGGAUCGUAAAACUCUGUUGUUGGAGAAGAAUGUAUCUGAUAGUAACUGAUCAGGUAGUGACGGUAUCCAACCAGAAAGCCACGGCUAACUACGUG
rnacentral:rRNA from 1 species